GGGGUUGUGGCUCAGUGGUAGAGUGUUCACCUAGCAUGUGUGAGGCAUUGGGUUAGAUCCUCAGCACUGCA
rnacentral:tRNA from 1 species